UAGCGACAAAAAGGAGAGCGAGGAGGACACCCGCCGCGGCGGCGACGCGUGUUUUGUGUAGGAGCGGUCGCAUCGAAGAGGCCGCAGGCCGGUUGCGCGAGUGAUCGGAGGGCGGAAGGAGGUGUAGAGGAGCGGAGGUGGGGUAGGUCAAGCACGGUAAGCGACGAGGUUCUGUUCCCGUACCGCGAGCCGCCGACGCCGUUGCUUCGACUACCACGUGCUCGGUUGGUACUUCCGUCAUCGUGCCCCGUCGCUGUCGUCGUACCUCCCGCAGGAGAACAAACCCUUCCAUUACCUUGACGUUUAUCCUCACCGUCGCCGCUGGUCCUACGUUUACCUUCACCAAGGGUUUCUGGAACCUUUCUUUACCGUGCACUCGUUUCCUAUAGUUCUUCGAAAACCUACAACCCUUCGAACCUCGACUACGAAGUUUAUUCGACUACCAACAGAAAACCUCUACAAAGAUACAAAUUACGAAAUUUCAGAAAACCGACAUGACCUGAUAAAUUUGAAACUUGAUACGACACUACCAACUUGACUACGACCUGCCAAUUCCCAAAUACAGUCUCCGUUGAAAUAUUGAUUACACACAGACAAUACAACCUGACAAUUCCCAAUACAACCUCCGUUAAAAUAUUGAUUACACACAGACGAUACAACCUAACAAUUGACAAUACAACCUCCGUUGUAAUAUCGAUUGCACAC
rnacentral:rRNA from 1 species